rnacentral:ncRNA from 1 species
GUUCCGAUGAUGAUUAAAAGGGAAUCAGGUGAAAAUCCUGAACAGACCCACUGCUGUAAAUUCUUUCCGGCGAUUUAUAUCAUAAAGUCGGAUAUAUUAAACAUUACUCAUUACCACUGUCUUAUUAGAUGAAAAUUUUUAUUGAUGAGGCGGGAAGGUCGUUUAAUAAUAAGAUAAGUCAGAAAACCUGCCGGGAUAUU